rnacentral:sRNA from 1 species
UGUGGGGAAGAUGAUGAGACGUUGGAGCAUUUGCUAUGUCAUUGCCCGGCUUUCGCGGCUUAAAGACAGCGGUAGUUAGAUGGUGAUGUCACCAAAAAACAAAAAGGCUGCUCAGUAAAAUCAGACACCAUCGCCGCUUGUAGUGAUGUCAUCAUUCCAGAGGGCACACGAAAUGUUGUUUGUGAAAUAUGUACGGAACCAAAAUGCAAUUCAAGUCCAGCCCUUGCAUUGUCUAUGCUGCUGAUACCAGUAGUUUUAUUCAUUCGUUAUAUAAUGAAUUAAUUAAAACUGUUUUAAUGAAUAACUUUUAAGAAGAAUUAAGUAUUAAACUAAAUUUAACGCACGCGCUAAAAACUUAUUUUUUUAAGAAAAACAAAAAACAAUAAAGCGUUUAGUACAACACAA